rnacentral:rRNA from 1 species
UACGGGGGAGCAAGCGUUGUUCGGAUUUACUGGGCGUAAAGGGCGCGUAGGCGGCCAGCACAAGUCAGUUGUGAAAUCUCCGGGCUUAACUCGGAAAGGUCAACUGAUACUGUGCGGCUAGAGUGCAGAAGGGGCAACUGGAAUUCUCGGUGUAGCGGUGAAAUGCGUAGAUAUCGAGAGGAACACCUGCGGCGAAGGCGGGUUGCUGGGCUGACACUGACGCUGAGGCGCGAAAGCCAGGGGAGCGAACGGG